rnacentral:rRNA from 1 species
AUUCGUCCAAGUGAAGCAGAGGACAGUGGCGGACGGGUGAGUAACGCGUGAGGAACCUGCCUUUCAGUGGGGGACAACAGUUGGAAACGACUGCUAAUACCGCAUAAGCCCACGGAUCCGCAUGGAUCUGCGGGAAAAGGAUUUAUUCGCUUCAGGAUGGACUCGCGUCCAAUUAGCUAGUUGGUGAGGUAACGGCCCACCAAGGCGACGAUCAGUAGCCGGACUGAGAGGUUGACCGGCCACAUUGGGACUGAGAUACGGCCCAGACUCC